UACAGAGGUCUCAAGCGUUGUUCGGAUUCAUUGGGCGUAAAGGGUGCGUAGGUGGCGGGGUAAGUCUGGUGUGAAAUCUCCGAGCUCAACUCGGAAAAGCAUUGGAAACUAUCCCGCUAGAGGGUCGGAGGGGAGACUGGAAUUCUCGGUGUAGCAGUGAAAUGCGUAGAUAUCGAGAGGAACACCAGUGGCGAAGGCGAGUCUCUGGACGACUCCUGACACUGAGGCACGAAAGCUAGGGGAGCAAACAGG
rnacentral:rRNA from 1 species